UCUUUUCCUAUUCUGCUCUUACUUGACAGAAUAAAAGUAUUAUUAAGCAUUAUCUCAGUUAUUUAAUCAGUUUCAUGGCUCUUUUUUUAGGUUAAUUACUUUUCUAUAUUUUCAUUCAAAAAUUAUAUUAAAUUAAAAAAGACUUCUUAUCUAUUCUUAUUAGAUUCGUGUAUCUUUAUUGAAAUAUUAUACUUGAUUACUAUCUAUUUUUAUAUCAUUUUUAAAAAAUAUUUUAUACUUAUUUAAAAUUUUAUUAUUAAAAAAAGGCCUCAUCUAUUGGAUUCGCCUUAGGCCUCCAAAUGUAUUGGGCCGCCCCUGUCUAGCAAUCUUAUCAUAUAGUCUGAUGGCAAUCCUGCACCUAAUCAUUUUUUUCUCCUACGUUGUACUUGUUUACAUUUCUAAGGUCGUGCCACAACCAGCUUUAUGAGGGCAUUGUGUCAAGCUACAGCAUACUGAUACAUGCACAUGAAUUUUUGAGUGUAUGGCUUGUACAAACAAUCACAGCCUGAUUUGUGGUCAAUCUUUGCAUUAGCAACUGAUUGAUGUCUCUUGGUGUGUUGCUAUAAAGGAGGCUCAUUUGGGAAUUUGAUGGGAUUCAGGUUAUUUUUCGAGGAUGGAUGAGAUUUGGUUUGUUAAUGACAUCAAAAAAAUGUAAUCACUAUGUAUGUACUUGUGCAAGUUUGGGAUAACAUCAAGGUUGCAAAAGUACUGGUCAAGAUUUUGCUAAACUUAAUAGAAAAUCUCAUCUUAGUACAGGCUUAGGACUUCAUUAUCCACUAACCCCAUAUUGCAUUUUCAUUAUUUAAUUUCUCAUGUUGUUGGUUGCUGAUCUUGCUCGAAGAAUUNNN
rnacentral:lncRNA from 1 species